rnacentral:rRNA from 1 species
CAGUCGCCGCGGGAAUACGAAGGGGGCUAGCGUUGUUCGGAAUUACUGGGCGUAAAGCGCACGUAGGCGGAUCGAUCAGUCAGGGGUGAAAUCCCAGGGCUCAACCCUGGAACUGCCUUUGAUACUGUCGAUCUGGAGUAUGGAAGAGGUGAGUGGAAUUCCGAGUGUAGAGGUGAAAUUCGUAGAUAUUCGGAGGAACACCAGUGGCGAAGGCGGCUCACUGGUCCAUUACUGACGCUGAGGUGCGAAAGCGUGGGGAGCAAACAGGAUUAGAUACCCCAGUGUCCCUGUCUCUUAUACA